AGGGUUUUACCUGGAAGGUCUCAUUAAAAAAACAUCAAGUCAUUCACAGUGGAGAGAGACCAUUCAGCUGUGACUUGUGUGGAAAGUCUUUUAGACAGCCUGGAAGCUUAAAAAGACACCAGCUCAUCCAUAGUGGAGUUAAAGAACAUACUUGCAAUCAGUGUGGGAAGUGUUUCUCUCGGAAAGAAGGGUUGGAAGGGCACAAACGUAUCCACAGUGGCAUUAAACAGUACAGCUGUGAUCAGUGUGGUAAAGUCUUUGCUCACCGGAGCGGCUUAUGGACUCAUCAAGUUGCCCACUCUGGAAUUAAGGCAUACAGCUGUGAGGUUUGUGGAAAAACUUUCAGCCAAGUAGGGCACCGAAAUGCACACCUACGCAUUCACACCAAAGAGGAUGUGUACUAUUGUGAACAGUGUGGAAAAGUGUUUAUGACAAACAGAGACUUAAAAAUCCACAAAUUCAUUCACACUGGAGAGAGACCUUAUAAAUGUGACGUGUGUGAUAAGGCUUUUAAAGAUCCAAGUUCCCUCAAAGCGCACCGACAGAUCCACACCAGGAAGAAACUCUACAAGUGCAGUUACUGUGAGAAGCAGAGCGACACAGAUGGAUCCAGUUCUCAACCCUGUCAUCACUGUGGUGGUGGGAAAGCAUUUCGUUGUGACAUUUGUGGAAAAACCUUCAAUUGGCAAAGAAGCCCGAAAAUACAUCUACGUAGACACACUGGACACAAACUCAAGUAUUGCAAAGAAUGUGGGAAAGGUUUCCCCACAGCAGGCGAAUUAGAGCGCCAUGAACUCAUUCACAGUGGCGUUAAAACGAACCUCUGUGACCAGUGUGGGUCAUCCUUCACCACUGCAGGUGAGCUUAAAGCUCAUAAACGAGUCCACACAGGAGAGAAACCAUACAAGUGCAGACACUGUGACAGAAGCUUCUCUCGUGCAAACACUCGUAAUGAUCAUGAACGUACACACAUUGAAGGAAACUUCAGCUGUGACCAGUGUGACAAGAGCUUCAAGAAUCUCAGUUCAUACUCCAAACACAAACGAUCGCACGCUGCAAAUAAACUAUUUCAGUGUGACCAAUGUGCAAAACCAUUCACUUCAUUAUCUGCUCUGACCAAACAUCUGCAUGAUCAUGCAGGACUAAAAUCAUUGCUGCCAUUGGAUCACAACGAAUCUGAACAGACAGAAAGAACCUCUUCUGCAUCAGAAACCUGAUCAGGCUCCACAUAGUUCUGACUCUUUACCCCUGUAAAGAGUGUCAGCUAAUAUCACACCUGGUUCUUAUGACAUAGCUAUGACUUUUGGACUGGCAGUGAUACACUUUGUAUUUAAUAAGUGGCAACCAUUGAAAACUACAGACAUUCACCACCAACAGGAGGUGCCAUAUGGAUUUAGUGCUUUUUGGACCAGGUGGCAGUCAGAGGCCCUGGCGUUCUGAGCUGUGGUCCCAACAAUAGGACCAGUAUAAUUAGCCAUGAUGCUGGCUGAUCAAGUCAGUUGGCAUCAUGUUAGUUGCAUUAAAAAAAAAAACCCAACAACUUCUCUUUUAUUAUCAUUUUAUCUUUUUUUUUUAUUUAUUUCAUUUCAGUUUAUUUUAAAUUUGAGCUAGACCUGGGCUGUACUUCUGUGUAAUACUUAUUUACAGUGGCAGCCCGCAGAAAUAAAA